rnacentral:lncRNA from 1 species
AGUCUUCACUAUGGAGUCAUCCUCAGACCAUCUCAGUCCAGGGCAAGUGGAGCUUCAUGACACCCGGGAAGCAGCGGGAGGACAGCUCAGCAGUGCCUGUGUCUGGAGAGGCUGCAGCAGCGGGAAGAGUGAUCCCAGGACCCUCAAAGUAUCUGGCCUUGAGGCACAACAGGUUCCACCCAAGGGACUGACUGUCCAGCCAGUGGCCUGGAGCUCCAAGCUGUGGUCACAGGCAGUCACAGGGCCCGGUGACCUGUCUCGAGCAGCAUGCUCUCCAGCUGCAGCUUGCUGUUGCUCUCUAUGUAGGGCUGGUGCAGCCACAUGGACAGGUAGGUCAGGCUGAGGUUGCGAUCUGCAGUAUGGGCCAGCUCUGCGCCAAUGGUGUGCUUCAAAAGGAGCUCCUUCUUGUAUGCUUCAGAGAGCCGGCGGGAGACCUCAUCUGCAGCAGAACAGACACCACGGCUGCGUGAGAAAGCACUGUCCUUAGCUCAAGCCAGAAUCAGUGCUGGCAGUGGGACUCCCCUGGUAGGGUGCUUGCCCAGCAUGCAUGAAGCCCUAGGUCUAAUCCCCAGUGCCCAUACACGGUGUGGUGGUGAAUGCUUG